UACAGAGGGUGCGAGCGUUGUCCGGAAUCACUGGGCGUAAAGGGCGCGUAGGUGGCGGCCCAAGUCUGUGGUGAAAGCUCGCCGCUUAACGGCGAGUCGGCCACGGAGACUGGGUGGCUCGAGCACUGUAGGGGCAGAUGGAAUUCCGGGCGUAGCGGUGGAAUGCGCAGAUAUCAGGAGGAACACCGGUGGCGAAGGCGGGUCUCGUGGGCCGAUGACUGACGCUGAGGAGCGAAAGCGUGGGGAGCGAACAGG
rnacentral:rRNA from 1 species